UUCUUUUGUGUUUUUCUUGUCUAAAAGUUGUGAUGAUAAAAAAUAAACAUUCUCAAAAUAUCCUAAAAACAAAAUAUAUCUUGAAUAUUUACAUGUUUUAUUAAGGAAUCUAGAUUCAUUUCUUUCUUUUUUUUUUUUUUUUUCUGAGACGGAGUCUUGCUCUGUCGCUCAGGCUGGAGUGUGGUGGCGCGAUCUCGGCUCACUGCAAGCUCUGCCUCCCAGGUUCACACCAUCCUCCUGCCUCAGCCUCCAGAGUAGCUGGGACUACAGGCACCUGCCACCACGCCCGGCUAGUUUUUUUGUAUUUUUAUUAGAGAUGGGGUUUCACUGUGUUAGCCAGGAUGGUCUCAAUCUCCUAACCUCGUGAUCCGACCACCUCGGCCUCCGAAAGUGCUGGGAUUACAGGCAUGAGCCACCGUGCCCGGCCUAGAUUCAUUUCUUUAAGAACAUUAUUUUUAAAAAGGAUGUAAUAAGUUUGUAGACAUAAAAUUGAAUGUGAUAUCACUCAUAUUUCCUUUUCUGGUUUUUAGGAAAAGAAACAGCACACUCAAAUAGUUUAAGCCUAUAGAGAUUUAUUAGGGGUUAAAGAUAACUUAAAAUUUGAUGGAAAGGUGAAGGCAGAUUUUCAACUGAACUUCAGGAAUGGCUCUCAGAACCAAACUGCAAAGAACCAAACUGCAAACUAGCUCCCUAAGGGUGAAACUCGGAAAUUUGAAAACACCGAAUCAGGUAAGUAUCACCCCAGCUGCCCUUUUUGAACUCUCGUGCAUGUUGGCUGUUGUGUUGGUAUACACAGGGCAAGGAGACAUUCCCAGAGUUGAGAGAGGCCAAAACACUGAGACCCACCUGCCUAAGAAUCAAUGACUGAACUUGCCAAGAUGCCGCAGUUCCUUCAAGAAGACACAGAUGCUGCAUCCCAAUGGAGCUUACAUUAGCUAAAAGCCAGCACUUGGGGAGGUGGACAGACACAUGUCCAGAGUGCCUUGGAGAGCACAGGCCACCGCUGAAGCUGUGAAAAAAGGCUAAAUACAUGGUGGAAGCAGGAAAGGAAAGGAACCCCAGACUUGCUCCUGGCUCACAGUACUACCUGCUUCCCCAUGCAGAGACACCCCAGUGAGGGCCCUCAUAUUGCCCUUGUGGACUUCACUGGGACUGAACCCUUCAGACCUAAGAGCUUCUAGGGCUCAGUUAUUGGAAACAUUUUCAGUUUUAUUCUUCUGAAUGACUUAAAGAUUUUUCAAUUAGAAAAACUCUCUUCAUGAAUGACAUGUACUAAUGUACUAAAGAACUUUGCUUCUAGAUCUAUUUAGAAUUGUCACACUUCUUCUACUACUGAUUACUACUGUAAUCUACUGGGAUUACAGGUGUGAGCCACUGCGCCUGGCUCAAAUGUGCUUUUCAAUAAAGGAUUGGGAAAAAAUAAGUUAGAGUGCAACUGCAAAUUCCAAAAUGAUUAAGCCCUUGGAAAUAAAAUGGGAUACAUGAUUUGAAAGAUAUCCAAGAGGUGGCAUGUGCAGUAAGAAGAACUCAGCAUUGGGCAGGCUGGUGGCUAUAGCACCAGUGCUGAGAGGGCAGGAUGUUAAGUAGGAAAGAAAAGCCUUUAGAGAAGGGCAGAGUUCCAGGAUCCCUGUCCAUAUGGACAACAUGACCCUAGUCUCUCAUGUCUGUCAGCUCUUGUGUCUUCUGGCUUUUCUUAGUCUCACUCAGCCACAUUGUUUGUAGCACUCACUUCCCUUGAAGGCACUUGAAACUGGGACAUCUGUCCACAGACAGGCCUGUCUGGACAGCCUUCCAAAAUGCUCAUGGCAAUGAGAAAGUCUCUGAGUCCCAGUCAUUUCCCUGCACACAGAGUAGUUCCCAUCUUAGCAAAACUGGGUGUUCUCUGAGUAUCACUCAGCACAUGGAAGCUGUCCAGACUUCUGUCCUGUGCAGGCAGGCAGUAACCUGGGAUCUCUGCUCUUGCAUGCAGAUAAACUUACAGUCCUUCAAAGCUUCAAGCUCCUAGAUGGUGAAACAAUACAUCUGUGCUGAGAGUGAGGAGAAGGAUGCAAUAGUCUUCCAGUUUUGUACUUUUACACUUCUGGGUCAUCAGAAACCAAAGAUUUGCCUUGGUUUCCCAAAGUGUUGGGAUUACAGGCAUGAUCCACCACGUCCAGCUUCAAUAAUUAUUAUUUUUUAUUUAUUUAUUUUGAGACAGAGUCUUGCUCUGUCACCCAGGCUAGACUGCAGUGGCGCCAUCUCGGCUCACUGCAAGCUCCACCUCCAAGGUUCACACCAUUCUCCUGCCUCAGCCUCCUGAGUAGCUGGGACUACAGGUGCCUGCCACCACACCCAGCUAAUUUUUUGUAUUUUUAGUAGAGACGGGGUUUCACCGUGUUAGCCAGGAUGGUCUCAAUCUGCUGACCUUGUGAUCCACCUGCCUCGGCCUCCUAAAGUACUGGGAUUACAGGCAUGAGCCUCCACACCCGGCCCUCAAUUAUUUUUGAUAGUUUUGUGUCAAUAUUUCCAUGAUAUAUAACAAUUCCUUAUUAUUCUAGCAAUCUUUUCCUCAUCAUUUUGUCUUAGUUCUACAUAAUUCUUAUACUGAGGAUUAAACUGAAGCAUGGCUCUAACCCUGAAACUUCUCUAAUAAUUUUUAAUCUCAAUGAUAUUGUUUGAAUAUUUGUCCCCCUCCAAAUCUCAUGUUGAAAUUUGGUUCGGGACAGAGCAGUGGCUUACACCUGUAAUCCCAGCACUUUGGGAAGCCAAGGUGGGAGGAUAGCUUGUGGCCAGGAGUUCAAGACCAGCCUGGGCAACACAGAGAGACCCCUGUCUUGAUAAAAAUAAAAAAGGCCAGGCGCGGUGGCUCACACCUGUAAUCCCAGCACUUUGGGAGGCUGAGGCGGGCGGAUCACAAGGUCAGGAGAUCAAGACCAUCUUGGCUAACACAGUGAAACCUCGUCCCUACUAAAAAUACACACACACACACACACACACACACAAAAUUACCCAGGCGUGGUGGCGGGCACCUGUAGUCCCAGCUACUUGGGAGGCUGAGGCGGGAGAAUGGCAUGAACCCAGGAGGUGGAGCUUGCAGUGAGCCAAGAUCGCGCCACUGCACUCCAGCCUGGGCAACAGAGUAAGACUCCAUCUCAAAAAAUAAAUAAAUAAAUAAAUAAAUAAAUAAAAUAAAAAAGAUUUUGAUAAUAUUGGAAGUGGGACCUAAAGGGAGGUGUUUGGGUCAUGGGGGUCGAGCUAUCAUGAAUGGCUUGGUGCAGCCCCCAAGUAAUAAGUAGGUUCUCACUCUAUUAGUACAUACAAUAAAAAGAGAACCAUGUCAAAAGGUACCUGAGAUACACCAAGAAAGCUCAAACUUGAAGACAUGUUUUUAAUAUGUAAAUGUGUAUGAAUGGAUACAUACAAGAUGUGUUUAAAAUCUGUUUGAGCUGCCACUGUCAGAUUCAAUGUAUAGCUAGCAUCAAUUUGCUGGGGUUAGAGGGCAUCAAGAUCUUCCCAGAAAUUCAGAGCCUUAGGUAAUCCAAAGGAAGAUUCUGUCAACAUUUAUACCUAAGCUUGACAGCCCUGAUGCCUCUUUGGACCUGGCUUGGAAAUAUGAUCCUCUAUUGUAGCAAUUGUACCUUGUUGCUGAAUGAUGUCAUCAUCCACAAGAUGGAUCCAUUCUUGAUUCUCACCCUAUUGACUUUUUUCCAUUGCAACCAUAACAUGGGCUAGCUGCUCUACACCUCUCCAGUGGACUUCAAGUGCUGCUGAGCUCAAAUAAAUCUUGUCUGUCCCACCAUUUUAACCAGACAGGCAGAGCUCUUCUGUCUUAAGUGUCUCAUAAAUCUUUCAAAUAGGUAAACUUCUAGUGCUAUGCUUCCUCUGACCGUUCUGCUAUUCUGUUUUCCUGUGCCAUGGUUUCUCAUUAGGUUUUCUACUGUUUUUUUGUUUGUUUGUUUGUUUGUUUUUCUUUUUGUUUUUGUUUUUGAGAUGGAGUUUCACUCUUGUCGCCCGGGCUAGAGUGCAAUGGCGCGUUCUCGGCUCACUGCCGCCUCUGCCUCUCGGGUUCAAGCAAUUCUCCUGUCUCAGCCUCCUGAGUACCUGGGAUUACAGGCACCCCCCACCAAGCCCAGGUAAUUUUUUUUUUUUUUUGUAUUUUUGGUAGAGACAGGGUUUCACCAUAUUGGCCAGGCCGGUCUCGAACUCCUGACCUCAGGUGAUCUGCCCACCUUGGCCUCCCAAAGU
rnacentral:lncRNA from 1 species